GGUAACUCCGGUACAGACGAGUGGGGAAGACGGUGAGUGCAAGCGGUAAUCGGAAACUCUGGGCGUAAAGGGGACGGAAGCGGCGUGGUAAGGCCGGGGUGAAAACCCACAGCCCAACUGUGGAACUGGCGUUGAUACUGCCAGGCGUGAGUACCGGAGAGGGUGGCGGAAUUCCAGGUGUAGGAGUGAAAUCCGUAGAUAUCUGGAGGAACACCGGUGGCGAAGGCGGCCACCUGGACGGUAACUGACGCUGAGGUGCGAAAGCGUGGGUAGCAAACAGGAUUAGAUACCCUAGUAGUC
rnacentral:rRNA from 1 species